UGUCAUUUUUGAAUUUUCCCCACUUUUUACAAGAUAAAAAUUACCUUUUAAUUGUUUUAGUUAAAUCUUUUGAGUAUAUCCGAUCAAUUAUUGAUGGUUGAGUUACUCAAUACCUGCCGUAACUUUUAGUAUAAUAUUGACCCGACGCCUUACUAACUACCUAUAAAUAUCCAUGUGUAACCAAUGAGUCUAACACAUCACACAAUUAUUUGAGAGAAAAUAAAAUAAAAGCAAAAUGGAGGGAAAGAGUAUGAUCAAGUUAUCUCAUGUGCUUGCUUUCUUGCUUCUUGCAUCAC
rnacentral:lncRNA from 1 species